CACACUCCCAUAUUAUAUAUAUAUGCCCACAUUCACCAAAUUGGGGUUUCUGAAAACCCUAGCUCGACAGAGAAACAGCAAAAACCCUAGAAUUAUGCCAUAAAAGAUACAUAACAGAUAGGAGAUUCUGAUUCACCCACCAAUUUCAAAGAAUACCCAAAGAGAGAGAAAGAAGAAGAAAAAACAGUACAGGAAGUGGAGGAAAAAGCUUCAAGUUCCAUCAUCAAUGGAGGAAAAGACAAGCUAUACUUUUUUUUUUGUGUGUGUGUGUGGCAAAUGCUAUAGGGAUAAUAUGAAGAGGGGGGAAUACUUGUCUGUGAGUGGUUGGAGCAACUGUAGUAGUGGAGAGAUUGAGAACAAUACCCCAAUGAAGAGAGUGACUGAUCCGACCAAUUUAAAAAAAAAUUAUCUGUACUUAUUUGCAGAAAAGCAAAGAUAUAUAGAAAAAAAAAUACUACUACAAUUUUAGGUGAAA
rnacentral:lncRNA from 1 species